rnacentral:misc_RNA from 1 species
GAUGAAGAACGCAGCGAAAUGCGAUAAGUAAUGUGAAUUGCAGAAUUCAGUGAAUCAUCGAAUCUUUGAACGCACAUUGCGCCCCUUGGUAUUCCGAGGGGCAUGCCUGUUCGAGCGUCAUUAUAACCCUCAAGCUCAGCUUGGUGUUGGGGCCUGCUGCACUGGCAGCCCUUAAAAUCAGUGGCGGCGCCAUCUGGCUCUAAGCGUAGUAAUUCUUCUCGCUAUGGAGUCCUGGUGGAUGCUUGCCAUCAACCCCCAAUUUUUCUAUGGUUGACCUCGCAUCAGGUAGGGAUACCCGCUGAACUUAAGCAUAUCAAUAAGCGGAGGA